AUUGAACGCUGGCGGCAGGCUUAACACAUGCAAGUCGAGCGAGCGGCGGACGGGUGAGUAAUGUCUGGGAAAUUGCCUGAUGGAUGGGGAUAACUACUGGAAACGGUAGCUAAUACCGCAUACCAUCAGAUGUUCCCCGAUGGGAUUAGCUAGUAGGUGGGGUAAUGGCUCACCUAGGCGACGAUCCCUAGCUGGUCUCAGAGGAUGAACAGCCACACUGGAAAGUAGACACGGUCCAGACUCCUACGGAAGGCAGAAGUGGGGAAUAUUGCACAAUGGGCGCAAGCCUGAUGCAGCCAUGCCGCGUGUGUGAAGAAGGACUUCGGGGUGUAAAGCACUUUAAGCGAGGAGGCGUUACUCGCAGAAGAAGCACCGGCUAACUCCGUGCCAGCAGCCGCGGUAAUUC
rnacentral:rRNA from 1 species